rnacentral:rRNA from 1 species
AUUGAACGCUGGCGGCAGGCCUAACACAUGCAAGUCGAGCGGAUGAAGGGAGCUUGCUCCUGGAUUCAGCGGCGGACGGGUGAGUAAGGCCUAGGAAUCUGCCUGGUAGUGGGGGAUAGCGUCCGGAAACGGGCGCUGAUACCGCAUACGUCGUGAGGGAGAAAGUGGGGGAUCUUCGGAGCUCACGGUUGUAGCUGAGCCUAGGUCGGAUUAGCUAGUUGGUGGGGUAAAGGCCUACCAAGGCGACGAUCCGUAACUGGUCUGAGAGGAUGAUCAGUCACACUGGAACUGAGACACGGUCCAGACUCCUACGGGAGGCAGCAGUGGGGAAUAUUGGACAAUGGGCGAAAGCCUGAUCCAGCCAUGCCGCGUGUGUGAAGAAGGUCUUCGGAUUGUAAAGCACUUUAAGUUGGGAGGAAGGGCAGUAAGUUAAUACCUUGCUGUUUUGACGUUACCAACAGAAUAAGCACCGGCUAACUUCGUG